rnacentral:rRNA from 1 species
AACGAACGCUGGCGGCAUGCCUAACACAUGCAAGUCGAACGAAGCCUUCGGGCUUAGUGGCGCACGGGUGCGUAACGCGUGGGAAUCUGCCCUUUGGUUCGGAAUAACAGUUGGAAACGACUGCUAAUACCGGAUGAUGACGAAAGUCCAAAGAUUUAUCGCCAGAGGAUGAGCCCGCGUAGGGUUAGCUAGUUGGUGUGGUAAAGGCGCACCAAGGCGACGAUCCUUAGCUGGUCUGAGAGGAUGAUCAGCCACACUGGGACUGAGACACGGCCCAGACUCCUACGGGAGGCAGCAGUGGGGAAUAUUGGACAAUGGGCAAAAGCCUGAUCCAGCAAUGCCGCGUGAGUGAUGAAGGCCCUAGGGUUGUAAAGCUCUUUUACCCGGGAUGAUAAUGACAGUACCGGGAGAAUAAGCCCCGGCUAACUCCGUGCCAGCCGCCGCAGUAA